rnacentral:lncRNA from 1 species
GUUUUAAGGCAUGUAUGGUACUCUGUGAUAAACAAGACUUCAAUUCUGUUAGAAUGAUGUCUCCAAACUGAUAUUAUAACUGAGUCCUCAGUGAGCCAACCCUGUCUCUCCGUCAUGCCAAUACUUCAGAAUGAUGGGGUGUGUAAUGAAACCACUUAAUUUCAUGGACAUAAACAUUGCUGGACUUCCUUUGUUGUGAAAUGACUUUCUCGAUUAGAAGUAAUGCUAUGUGGACUCUUAUCACCAUGAAUGAGGCAUUCUUUCCAUCCGCAGAUGCUAGUGCUGAAGAGGCAUUAUGACCAGAAAGACAGUGCUGCAUUCAGAAUGUGUGGCUGUUCCCAAAGAGGAGGACUACAAGACAUCGUAUGCACGGUGAAAGGAAGUGUGAACCUGCCACUGGAGCAAUGA